rnacentral:tRNA from 1 species
GCUCAGUUGGUUGAGUGUCUGACUCCUGAUUUUGGCUCAGGUCAUGAUCCUAGGCUCGUGGGAUCGAGUCCCGCAUUAGGCA